rnacentral:rRNA from 1 species
AUUGAACGCUGGCGGCAGGCCUAACACAUGCAAGUCGAACGAGUGGCGGACGGGUGAGUAAUGUCUGGGAAACUGCCUGAUGGAGGGGGAUAACUACUGGAAACGGUAGCUAAUACCGCAUACCAUCAGAUGGGCCCAGGUGGGAUUAGCUAGUUGGGGGGGUAACGGCCCACCAAGGCGACGAUCCGUAGCUGGUCUGAGAGGAUGACCAGCCACACUGGAACUGAGACACGGUCCAGACUCCUACGGGAGGCAGCAGUGGGGAAUAUUGGACAAUGGGCGAAAGCCUGAUCCAGCCAUGCCGCGUGUGUGAAGAAGGCCUUCGGAUUGUAAAGUACUUUCAGCGGGGAGGCGUUACCCACAGAAGAAGCACCGGCUAACUCCGUGCCAGCAGCCGCGGUAAUAC